GUGGCUUGCGUGCCCUGGUGGUGUUGGUGUCGUCAUGGUGAUGGUUGUGGCUCUCUCUCUCUCUCUCUUUCUCUCUCAUUCCUGUGGCUCCCUGUGGUCGUGACGUUGGCACUGUGAUUCUGUGUUUCAUGCAGUCGCCCUGUUCUCCUUUUCUUCAUCAUUCUCUCCAUCACUCUUUUCUUCGGCUGUGAUGGUGUGUGGGGGGGAUUUCAUGCUCUCUCUCUCUCUCCCUCCCUCUCUUGCUCUUUUUUUUCCCCAGUAGAGUUUGAUUUUGAAUAAAGGCAGCUGUGUUUUGGAGCACACAGCAGUCAAAAUCACAACCCCUCACCCAAUGCUACUCCAGGGGUCUCCAUAAAGAUCUGAUUAUGUGAAAUGUGUAAAUCUCCUGCGUCUCUCCUAAAUCUAUCCCAGGAAGCAUGGUUGGUUGGCUAAAAGCAAGCGUUUGGAAAGUACCUGUUUUGUGCUCGUUUACUUUCAAGUCAGAUGGGUUUUAAUCAAUCAAAUGGGUUUUAAUCAAUCAAAUGGGUUUUAAUCAAUCAAAUGGGUUUUAAUCAACUGUUUCCUUUCCCUUCUUCCACCCUAAAUAACCUAAAACAAACAACUUUGAAAAUAAAUUUAAAGUUGUUUAAAUGAAUGUGUUUCUUACAGGGAAAUGCAACAACAUGGUAUUGUAAAUAACAAUAAUAUUAAUAAUAAAGGGAAUUGAUUAUUAAUAAGCUUCUCCUGCGUUAUGUUGAAUGUGCUGCUCAGCCCAGGUUAAAUGUCCUAUGAGGGCCCAAACUCUGAAUUUGCAGAGAAACGCUGAAUAUAGUCUCUAGUUCCUCCUCUUCAGUCACACCAGACACACAUUACCUCCCUACUAUGGCAGUUGGGCUAAUUACUGUAAUAAUGAUAGACAUCCAUCAUCAUGUCAGUCUGAUGGGAGGCUUUGGGUUGCUUAGUGAAGCUGAACAGUUAGGCCAGACAGUUUUUUUUUUAGCUGAGAUAGCUAAUAUUUGCUUGGGUAUCAUUAUAUAAAUAUUGCCGAUUCAGAGUAGCCUAGUUGAUAUCUAGCUUGCUUCGUGCAUGCGUGCCAAGGAGUGGGAGUCUAAUCGAUCAGUCUGGUGGUGAAGGGAGUCCCUGUGGUUGGGUGGUUUGGUGUCGGGGGGAGAGAGGGGGGGGGCGGUCUGCUUAACUCCCAUUAGAGACGGGCACUUUGGGGACUUUCCCCAAGACCUUGUUUUUAAUCGCGGGGGGCUGUUUUCAGGACGUCUGUGAUAGCCAUCGCUCAGAAACAGGCGGGAGUCGAGCUCAGUGUAGGUCCAUGGUGCGGUCCGCACCCCCUCCUCUGCGUUUUAAGGAUCUCCACGCCGAACACCUGUUACCUGCGUUUACAUUUCACAGUGUUUACCCCGCUGGGGUGCGGCAGGCCCAGAAGCCUGGUGCUAAAGUUAUGCCUCUCAGCCUCGACCGGGUUGCCCUCUCCACAGGGUGAUAAAUCCUUUACGAGGUCGGGGAUUAGGGCAGGAGACCCGUUCAUGAUUUUCUAACGGGUGUUUUAUGGUCCAGAUGCUGUGUUUAACCCUGAGAACCAUCAUGUGGAUAAAGACUCCCCCUCCCCUCCCCAGACUUCAGCCUAGCUGGUUUGGGCGCAUUGGCGGUGUCUCCGUUUGAAGUGCGCACCAGCUGCGGUGUCUGAGAGUGACAUCAUCGGUCUGCGCUCGGCGUUCCUUUUAGUGGCUCCGCUGGGAGGUGACUGACGCGCCCAAGCCGCCGCUUGCUCUGUUUGCUGGCCCGCGAUCGAUCGCCGUGCCGCUGGUCAACGGGGUUCAUCCAAAAGUGAACCGGUAGUGCAGUCUCCUGUGACCUGAGCGUGUACGGACAUAAAAACAUAGCUAGCCGGGGUUUCUCGUUUUAAAUUAGGUUUUGAGACCACUGUGGUGUUAGGUAACCCCCCUGUCUCCCCCCCCCCGUCCCCGUACCCGUCCCAGUCCUGCUGUGAUUUUAAAGAAUUUGAAUUUGAAAUGCGUUCUGCAGAUAAGGUGUAAUUACUUUUUUCGUUAGUGUGUGUGGUCCCCGUGCGUUCGUGUGCUAUUCAUUUUAUUGCAGUUAUGGGAAGUCUGUUUUUUACGGAUACGAUUUGUCUUUCCUCUUGCCCCUGUAACCCUUGUGGUAAAUCUGGAUUUAGUCUCCACCCCCCCCCCCCCC